rnacentral:misc_RNA from 1 species
GGAAAACAAAUAUACAACUUGGAAUGGAUUUGAGGCAAAUUGUGCCAUAAGCACAUUUUCUUUAAGUGGCUAAGCAAAGUCUAAGAAGCAAGUAACAGUAAAAGAAAAUGUUUCUGGUACAAUGCCAGCAGUACAAAAAGUCGUGUCCGAGUACCUGGAUAAAAACCAGCUUUGUAUUCGUGCAGCCUCUUAAGUACAUACUGUUGACUGUCCACAGUCUACUCAGUUAUCCACACGUCAACAACAUGCUGACAGUUCCUAACAGCUGCUUUAAAAAAGGCAUAACCCAGAUGUUCCCUCAUUG